rnacentral:siRNA from 1 species
AUAUUAUGCCUAAUAUGGCCAUA